AUCCUUUUGUAGUUCGUAAGCAUGACGAUUGGGUUUUCACAUACAUGUCUCAGAAGUGCCUCUCUCAAACCUUGUUACGUCAGCACAUUACCUGUCUUACA
rfam:Pan troglodytes isolate Yerkes chimp pedigree #C0471 (Clint) chromosome 15, whole genome shotgun sequence.